rnacentral:snoRNA from 1 species
AUCAUUGAUGAUGGUGAGAUGGCAUCUCAUAUACUUAAUGGUCUUGAUUAUGAAUACAAUCCCUUUGUUUCAUCGAUGCUUGAUC